GACCGCUGAAAUGGAGGUGACUUUGAGCCGCAGAUCAGGAUGAAGCCAUUCACAUGGGAGGUGUGUAAGAAAUCAUUCUUGUCAUAGUCAGAUCCCCACAACACGAAUGCAUUCACACAGGGAGAAACCAUUCACCUGUGUGGUCUGUGACAAAUUGUUCUUGAGAUCAGGGAACCUCCAUGAUCACCAACACAUUCACACAUGGGAGAAACCAUUCAGGUGUGAAACAUGCUGCAAAUCAUUCUCACAGUCAUCGCAUCUCCUCUGGCAUCAGAGGAUUCACACAGGGGUGAAACCAUUCAAGUGUGAGCUGUGUAACAAAUCAUUCUCGGAUUCAUCGACUCUCUGCAAACACCAACGCAUUCACACAGGGUGAAACCAUUCACAUGCGAAGUGUGCGAUAAAUCAUUCUCGAUGUCAUUGAACCUCCUGCUCCAUCAGAGGAUGCACACAGGGGAGUAACCAUUUAAGGUGUGAGGUUUGCGAUAAUGCUUUUACAAUAUCUUUGAUUCUAUGGGACAUUGGAGGAUUCACACAGGGGAAAUACUCUUCAGGUGCGAUGGUUGAACGACAGCUUUCAUCAAGUCCUCCAAUUUUGUUAAGCAACAGUGGAUUCACACUGCAGUCAGCAUAUCUCCUGGUCCAUCAAUGCACUCACACAGGGGAGAAACUCUAUCGGUGUGAGUUCUCUAAUGAAGCCUUCAUACAGUUGGUAACCUCGUGGAACAUCAGCAAACCCACAUGGGAUCUACCUAACCAAGUUCUUGUCAAUCUGUCAUCAGAGUGUGAAUCUCUAACAAUCUCACUGCAAAGGAUGUUCAGUGGUAUUGGGGCACAGAACAAGGAGCAGCUUUCACUCACAUCAAACAACUAGUGACGACAACGCCAGUGCUGAGGUACGAUGAUGUCAAUGAUGAAGUCACCCUGCAGUGAGAUGCCAGUGAAACAGGACUUGGAGCAACCCUCAUGCAGCAAGGACAACCAGUUGUGUUGGUAUCCAGAGCAUUAACACAAACUGAACUGCACAGAUUGAGAAAGAGAGCCUGGCUAUUGUCUUUGCUUGUGAGCUUUUCAGCCAGGACCUCUUUGGGAGAGAGAAAGUGAUGGUGCAGUCUGACCACAAGCCACUUCAAAGCUUCUUUCUCAAACUGCUUCUCUCUGCUCCAAAGUGUUUACAAAGGAUGUUACUUCAUUUGCAACAGCACGACAUGCUCUGGAAGUCAUCAACCCAGCAGAGACAUUGAAUCUGACAGACAAGCGUCUUGCUCAGCUCAAGAAAACUACACAAUGAGAUACAAUUCUUCAAAUGUUACAGGAAGUUGUGUUGAAAGGAUGGCCUGAAACCAUCAGAGACACACAUGUUGCUGUAAGAGAUUUUUGGGCAGACAGAGAUGAAGUGAUCUCCCAAGAUGACAUCUUGUACAAAGGGACUUGGGUCAUUAUCCUUAAAGAGAUGAGAAAAGAGAUGCUGAAGCACAUCCACAGAAACAACAAGGAAUCGAGUCUAGUCUGAGGAAGGUAAGAGAAGUGCUCUACUGGCUAAACAUGAGCAAUGAGAUUAAGGACCACAUCAGCCAGUGCAGUGUUUGUAAUGAAUAUCAAGCUAAGCAAGAUAAAGAGAUGCUCAUAACUCAUGACAUCCCAGACAAACCAUAGAUGAAGCUUGGAGUAGAUCUCUUAACUCUCACUGGAACUGAUUAUCCCGUCACAGUCAACUAUUAUUCAGACUACUGGGAGUUCGACCAGCUGAUGUCAACGACUACCAAUGGGAUUGUAGAACGCCUGAAAGCACACUUCAGUCGUCAUGGCAUUCAUGACAUUGUGAUGAGUGACAAUGGUCCUCAAUUCACGAGUGAAGAAUUCAGACACUUGAUGAAUGAUUGGGAAAUUCAACACUACACAUCAUCUCCACACUGUCUCCAGUCAAAUGGAAAGGCUGAGGCAGCUGUGAAAAUUGCCAAAGGGAUCAUCAAAAAAUCAACUAGAUCCAGCACAAAUGUGUACAAGGCAAUCUUAGAGUGGAGAAACACACCUACUGAAGGCAUGAAAAGUUAUCCAGUCCAGUUACUAAUGUCACGCUGCACCCAGACUACUCUUCCAACAGCUAAAAAACUACUGAGGCCAGAAGCAGUAACAGGGAGUGAGUGACAAGAUCAAAGUGAAACGACAGAAAAACAAAUUUCACUUUGAUAAAGCUGCCACAUCGUUGCCAGAGCUGAGAGUUGGAGAGCCGGUCAGAGUGAAAACGUUCAACGCACCUCAACAAAAGUCAGCUCACUUGGCAACUUGGGACCUGUGUAGAGAAGUUGUCAUCUUGAUCGUACACGGUGAACGACCAGAUCUAUCUUCACAACCGCAGACAUCUACGUGCAACCGGAGAAGCUGCUCCUUCACAGCAGAGAGCUGGUGAGGCAGAUCCUAUUUCACCAACUGAGCAAGGAACUGAACGCCCAUCAGUCCCAGAGAGUGACCGUUCCCCAAUAAAUGCAGCAGCAACAAUUACCACAGCAACAACAUUCACCAUGGCAGCAACAUUCCCCAGAGAGACAUCACCUCAGGAACCAGCAGACACCUAAUGAACAGUCAACAAUGACUCACACACAUACCAUAAGAAGAGCUGAACACUUUAAAGAUUGUGUGUGUAGGGACAGAUGGAAUUGGAACAGACCGGAAAGAACAAAAUGUGACUAUUUUCUUUACAGACUAUGGAUGUGGAGUAGCUUAUAAAUUAUUGUGCAUGCAAUUUUUUUUCCUUUUUAUGAAGAGGAGGAUGUUUGGAUAAAUCCCUUUUUACACUGUAGCUUCCCACAUUAAUGUGACCUCUGAUGUCACUAGAUGUAAAUAAAAGUUUGAGGUCAGUCACUA